rnacentral:rRNA from 1 species
UGAGCAAUCUGCCCUUCACAUCGGAAUAACCAUUGGAAACGAUGGCUAAUGCCGAAUAUGACUUCGGAUCGCAUGAUCUGAAGUGGAAAGCUCCGGCGGUGAAGGAUGAGCUCGCGGCCUAUCAGCUCGUUGGUGAGGUAAUAGCUCACCAAGGCAAUAACGGGUAGCCGGCUGAGAGGGUGACCGGCCACACGUGGGACUGAGACACCGGCA